UACAGAGGGUGCGAGCGUUAAUCGGAAUUACUGGGCGUAAAGCGCGCGUAGGCGGCUUUGCAAGUCGGGUGUGAAAUCCCCAGGCUUAACCUGGGAACUGCAUUCGAGACUGCAUUGCUAGAGUAUGGGAGAGGGCAGUGGAAUUCCUGGUGUAGCGGUGAAAUGCGUAGAUAUCAGGAGGAACACCGGUGGCGAAGGCGGCUCUCUGGACGGUGACUGACGCUGAGACGCGAAAGCGUGGGGAGCAAACAGG
rnacentral:rRNA from 1 species